rnacentral:rRNA from 1 species
CCACCCGUUCCCAUCCCGAACACGGCAGUUAAGCCCUCCAGCGCCGAUGGUACUUGGGGCGCAGGCCCCUGGGAGAGUAGGACGUCGCCAGGC